UCCUGCCCCGCCUCUCACUUCCUGGGUGCCAGCCCGAGGCAGGGGUGGACAGAAUGAACCCCGUGGCCUCAGAGAGCGUGGGUGGGGCACAGAGUAGGUGUUUUCUGCUGGGCACCUGGACAUCUAGGUCUGAGGCACCCCUCCCUACCUCUGUGUCCAGCUCUGAAUUCGAAACACGGGGUCUACUAACUUGUACAACAACAAAGCAACAGGGUAUGAUUGCAGACAUAGAUCCUAAUGCCAACCGGAGACACACGCUUCUCAUCCGUGGAAGAAAUAACACAGACUGACCCAAAAGAAGAGUCUUACUGGACAAUCUCCUAGACGGAUUGUUCUAUGCAAAGAAACACAGGAGUGUGGAGGAGGUGAUCCUAACCCUGGAGUUUUCUUUGGUUUUGAGACAAUAAUUUUGUCACUAUGUAAUCCCGGCUGGCCUGGGACUUGUUAUGUCCACCAGUCUCCCCUUGGUAGCAGACCCACCUGAUGCUUGGCCCCCUUGUGCUGGGAUUAAAGGUGUACACCACCAA